UUUUAUUUGAGAGUUUGAUCCUGGCUCAGGAUGAACGCUGGCGGCGUGCCUAACACAUGCAAGUUGAGCGAUUUACUUCGGUAAAGAGCGGCGGACGGGUGAGUAACGCGUGGGUAACCUACCCUGUACACACGGAUAACAUACCGAAAGGUAUGCUAAUACGGGAUAAUAUAUUUGAGAGGCAUCUCUUAAAUAUCAAAGGUGAGCCAGUACAGGAUGGACCCGCGUCUGAUUAGCUAGUUGGUAAGGUAACGGCUUACCAAGGCGACGAUCAGUAGCCGACCUGAGAGG
rnacentral:rRNA from 1 species